UGGGGAAUAUUGGGCAAUGGGCGAAAGCCUGACCCAGCAACGCCGCGUGAAGGAAGAAGGUUUUCGGAUUGUAAACUUCUGUCCUCAAGGACGAAGGAAGUGACGGUACUUGAGGAGGAAGCCCCGGCUAACUACGUGCCAGCAGCCGCGGUAAUACGUAGGGGGCGAGCGUUGUCCGGAAUGACUGGGCGUAAAGGGCGCGUAGACGGCUGUCUAAGUCUGGAGUGAAAGUCCUAUUUUCAAGGUGGGAAUUGCUUUGGAGACUGGAUGGCUUGAGUGCGGAAGAGGUAAGUGGAAUUCCCAGUGUAGCGGUGAAAUGCGUAGAGAUUGGGAGGAACACCAGUGGCGAAGGCGACUUACUGGGCCGUAACUGACGUUGAUGCGCGAAAGCGUGGGGAGCGAACA
rnacentral:rRNA from 1 species